rnacentral:rRNA from 1 species
UACGUAGGGUGCGAGCGUUAAUCGGAAUUACUGGGCGUAAAGUGUGCGCAGGCGGCCGAGCAAGUCGAGUGUGAAAGCCCCGAGCUUAACUUGGGAACUGCGCUCGAAACUACUUGGCUGGAGUGUGGCAGAGGAAGGUGGAAUUCCACGUGUAGCGGUGAAAUGCGUAGAGAUGUGGAAGGAACACCGAUGGCGAAGGCAGCCUUCGUGGGCCAACACAUGACGCUCAGUGCACGAAAGCGUGGGGAGCAAACAGGAUU